UUCUUGCCUGAGAAAUCCCAUGGACACAGGAGCCUGGCGGGCCACAGUCCAUGGAGUCACAAAAGAGUUGGACACGACUUAGUGAGUCAAAAAAAAAAACAAACAGAACUAACAUAGCGAUUGUUCAAGAAGUAAACAGGUUAUCUUAAAAGGUUAGAAGGAAAUCAAGCUGGAAAGAUAUGAGAGCAUGGAGAGCUACCAGACUGGGGAAUUAGAACUUGAUUAGUGUGUGUUGGUGAGCUACUGAAGGUUUUAGGCAGGGAAUAUGAGCAAAGCUAUACCAGGGGCUGGUUAUGCAGGCAGGACCACUAUAGCAUGGGUCAUAGUGGGAAGCACGACAGUCCAAGCCAUCAGUCAUUUAUUCAUUCAUUCAUCCACUCAUGUAUUCUAGUUAAUGCUUGUCUACUCCGCUGGACAGCACUUUCCAUGAUGGCAGAGAGUGCUUGCUUUUUUUGCUCACUACUUUGUCCCAGCACCCACACAGUACGUGGCUCACUGCAGGUGCUUACUACCUGCUUGUGGAAGGAGGAAGAGACAGACAUCAAGCACGUAGAGAUAAGUAGGGUGGUGUCCAUGCUGAAAGAGCUGAAGGCAUUUUGGAGAGAGAUAUGAACUUGGCCACUAAUUAGAGUGCAGGAGAUUGGGGGUGUGGAGCGCAGGAGUCAAAGUGACUCAGAUGAUGAGCUGGGCGAUUGAUAGAAGGGUGGUCCCAGAGGCAGGAAUAGGAGGGUCGGAGGAGGGUCAGUCAACAUUGAGAUGACAAUUCAUCUUUAGUAAUAUUUGAGUAAAUGCAUCACCAACCACAUUCAGUCUGUUGUAAAAUCAACCCAACGGAGUCUCAACCCCAUUUCAACCAAACUGUUGUCCCACUUUGUUAUCCCGGCAGUACAGCCGCGAGUUCAGAUGUCUGCUCUGCUCUGACAUUGGGGCUGGAUUCCCACUGGUUUCCUGUGGGGCAUUAAUUAAGUGUCCAGCCAUUUCCACACCAUGUUAACUGGUUCACGGCUGUACCCCCAGUGCCUGCCACAUAACAAGUGCUCAAUAAACAUUUGUUGUUUGAAUGAAAUGGUUUUCUGUUCCAGGCAUUUACUGAUUUCCCUCUGCCCGUGGGUGGCAGGGGAGCCAACAUCCAGAGAUGACACUGCAGAGCGGGUGAGUACCAGGGGAACAAGGCAGGGAUUGGCACUCUGUGCUUAGCGUUCCAUGAAUGUAAAGGCGGGGAAGCCAGUUUGGAGAACAAAAGCAGAGUUCCCUUGGCAGUUCGGGUAAUGGAAACAAGUCUGACCUCAGACACUCAGCUGCUGUUAAAAUCAACAGGAUGAAUAAUUAGAAGAGGGAAGCCAGAGAGAACUCACAAGCUGUUGCAGCUGCCCAAAGCACGGUUUUCGAUCAAUUGAUGAUACAGUAAGAGUGAGGGCAGGUCACUGUGUGUGCCGUCUCCUGUGUUGUGAGGGUGCUCCCCUCCUCCUAGGGGAUGGUCCAGCUCUUAAACCAGGGCAGGAAGCUCGGGGAGGUGUGCUAUUGUUGACUCUCAAAGUCGCCCCUGGGACAUCACCUGUGUGUUGUAAAGCCUGACUCUGGAAAUUAUCGCUGAAAUCUGCUUCAUCCACAGUGAAGCUUCAAGGGUCAGGGACUCUGGGAGCUGCACAGGAUUGGGACUCCAGCAUCUGCAGAGAGUCCGUCUUCUUGCAAAAAGACUGUGUUGAGUACUGCAAACCUGUUUCUUGCUGGAGUGCCACCCAUGGUGAACCCCACACACAAAAAUGUGUAGAUUCUGGCUCUUUGUGGAAAAAAAAUGCAGAAAAUAUGGAAAGAAGGAAAGAAGAAAAAUAUCACAUUGUUCCAAUCCUCAAAGAAGCCUAUGCUGUUUUGCAGAUACUGAAACCCCCACCAGGUGGAAGAAGUCAACUGUACGCUGCCCACAAGCACAGAGACCCCAGAAAGGUUGGAACCCAAAGUUGAUGACAUUGACUCCUGAUGACCUCAUCACCAGCCAAUCAGAAGAAUAUCAGCAAGCUGAUCACACAAACCCCAACCCCUCUCUCUCACCCUGAAAGCCUUUGGGGAGUUGGGCCUCUUAAGCAUUAGCUGCUCUGGACUCCUUGCUUGGCACCCUGAGAUAAAUGCUGCACUUUUCCUUCACCACAAACUGGUGUCAGUGGAUUGGCUUUCCAGUGCCCGGGGUGAGCAAACCCAAUGUUGGUUCCAUAACGGACUGACUCAGGUGACUGGGGUGGAGGAUGCUAGCAAGUCUGAAAUCUGCAGCAGGCUGGAGAGUUAGGUGGGCUUCCCUUGUGGUUCAGCUGGUAAAGAAUCCUGUAAAGCUGGUAAAGGCUGGAGAGUUAGGUAAGGGAAGAUGUUCGCAUCUCAUCUGAAAGCAGUCUGGAGGCAGAACUUGUCCCUCAUGGAAACCUGAAUCUUUUUCUCUUUUCCUCUGAAGUCCCUCAGCUGAUGGAGGAGGGUCAUCUCCUUUACUCAAAGCCUCCUGGUUGAAAUGUUAAUCACAUCAAAGAAAAAAAAUCUGAAAAAUACUUUCAGAGCGACAUUUCUACUGGCGUUUGACCAAACCAUGGGGCAUCUUCGUGUGAUCCAGACAAUUUGAUGUGUAAAAUUAACCAGCACCAUGGCCCUGGUGUGUGAGGUGGUAGGUAGGCACUUGAUAUUUUCAGACUGCGUGGACCACUGACCAGGAUCACCCUCCCCUUGGCCUCAGCCUUGCUCUCCUCCCUGGCAUCUACUCCCACCUGGUACCCUGUAUGUUUUACGUAGUUACUUGCUGGGGCCUGUCCUGAAUGUGCGUCUGUCCUGUCCUCAGUGCCCAGCAGAAUGUCUGACACACAAUAGUGAAGCCAAAGUCAAAGUGUUAGUCGUUCAGUCGUA